CUACGGGCUGCUGCAGUGGGGAAUAUUGCACAAUGGGCGAAAGCCUGAUGCAGCAACGCCGCGUGAGGGACGACGGCCUUCGGGUUGUAAACCUCUUUUAGCAGGGAAGAAGCGAAAGUGACGGUACCUGCAGAAAAAGCACCGGCUAACUACGUGCCAGCAGCCGCGGUAAUACGUAGGGUGCAAGCGUUGUCCGGAACUAUUGGGCGUAAAGAGCUCGUAGGCGGUUUGUCGCGUCUGCUGUGAAAAUCCGAGGCUCAACCUCGGACCUGCAGUGGGUACGGGCAAACUAGAGUGCGGUAGGGGAGAUUGGAAUUCCUGGUGUAGCGGUGGAAUGCGCAGAUAUCAGGAGGAACACCAAUGGCGAAGGCAGAUCUCUGGGCCGUAACUGACGCUGAGGAGCGAAAGCGUGGGGAGCGAACAGGAUUAGAUACCCGCGUAGUC
rnacentral:rRNA from 1 species